AUUGAACGCUGGCGGCAGGCCUAACACAUGCAAGUCGAGCGGAGCGGCGGACGGGUGAGUAAUGCCUAGGAAUCUGCCUGGUAGUGGGGGAUAACGUCCGGAAACGGGCGCUAAUACCGCAUCCAUUCAGUUAAGCCUAGGUCGGUUUAGCAAGUUGGUGGGGUAAAGGCCCACCAAGCCGACGAUCCGUAACUGGUCUGAGAGGAUGAUCAGUCAAACUGGAACUGAGACACGGUCCAGACUCCUACGGGAGGCAGCAGUGGGGAAUAUUGGACAAUGGGCGAAAGCCUGAGCCAGCCAGGCCGCGUGUGUGAAGAAGGUCUUCGGAUUGUAAAGCACUUUAAGUUGGGAGGCGUUACCAACAGAAUAAGCACCGGCUAACUUCGUGCCAGCAGCCGCGGUAAUAC
rnacentral:rRNA from 1 species